GGUGAAUUUUUUGCAAAUUGUUGAGGGUAUUUAUAAAGUUGGUGGAUAUUCCUUGAAUGCUACGGAUGUAGUCACCAUAUUUUCCAUUGGCUAUUUCAUUUACACCGACACUGUGCUCAGUAAACACUUAAACAGUGUUGUUGCUAAUUAUAUUGUGACCAAGGUUGUUAUGACACAAGUUAACUUUCUGCCACAAAUCUAUAAAGAUAUUACUGAGCGAUUCCUAGAAGCUUCUGGACAAACGAGUUACUCUGCCUCAACUAGACUUGAUUAUUGUGUUUAUAUGUUGAGAGACAGGAUGCCUGACGUUAUAACUCGACUCUUCGCAAAGGAAGCCUUUUUUGAAAAGGACCGACG